rnacentral:SRP_RNA from 1 species
GCCAGGCACGGUGGCGCGCGCCUGUAGUCCCAGCUACUCAGGAGGCUGAGGCAGGAGGAUCACUUGAGCCCAGGAGUUCUGGGCUGUAGUGCGCUAUGCGGAUUGGGUGUCCGCACUAAGUUCAGCAUCAAUAUGGUGACCUCCCGGGAGCGGGGGACCACCAGGUUGCCUAAGGAGGGGUGAACCGGCCCAGGUCGGAAACGGAGCAGGUCAAAACUCCCGUGCUGAUCAGUAGUGGGAUCGCGCCUGUGAAUAGCCACUACACUCCAGCCUGGGCACCAUAGCGAGACCCCGUCUCUU